UACGUAGGGUGCGAGCGUUGUCCGGAAUUAUUGGGCGUAAAGAGCUUGUAGGCGGUUUGUCGCGUCUGCUGUGAAAAUCCGAGGCUCAACCUCGGACUUGCAGUGGGUACGGGCAGACUAGAGUGUGGUAGGGGAGACUGGAAUUCCUGGUGUAGCGGUGGAAUGCGCAGAUAUCAGGAGGAACACCAAUGGCGAAGGCAGCACUCUGGGACGUGACUGACGCUGAGACGCGAAAGCGUGGGGAGCAAACAGG
rnacentral:rRNA from 1 species